AAUCAAGUAGCCCAGAAAAGUAUUGGUAGGUUCAUAAGUUAAUACUGGUGAAUCAAGUAGCCCAGAAAAGUAUUGGUAGGUUCAUAAGUUAAUACUGGUGAAUCAAGUAGCCCAGAAAAGUAUUGGUAGGUUCAUAAGUUAAUACUGGUGAAUCAAGUAGCCCAGAAAAGUAUUGGUAGGUUCAUAAGUUAAUACUGGUGAAUCAAGUAGCCCAGAAAAGUAUUGGUAGGUUCAUAAGUUAAUACUGGUGAAUCAAGUAGCCCAGAAAAGUAUUGGUAGGUUCAUAAGUUAAUACUGGUGAAUCAAGUAGCCCAGAAAAGUAUUGGUAUGUUACCUGAUUGGCAUGAU